UACGUAGGCAGCGAGCGUUGUUCGGAGUUACUGGGCGUAAAGGGUGUGUAGGCGGUUGUUUAAGUUUGGUGUGAAAUCUCCCGGCUCAACUGGGAGGGUGCGCCGAAUACUGAAUGACUUGGAGUGCGGGAGAGGUGAGUGGAAUUCCCGGUGUAGAGGUGAAAUUCGUAGAUAUCGGGAGGAACACCGGUGGCGAAGGCGGCGAUCUGGGUCGAUACUGACGCUGAGGUGCGAAAGCGUGGGGAGCAAACAGG
rnacentral:rRNA from 1 species